AUAAGCAGAGGUAGUAUGACCUCACUAACCUUAAAGUGGACGUAGUAUGACGUCAAUUGGUGGAAAUGAAUUACUCGCGGUAUAUGGGGGCAUUAUGAGCCACCGCGGGGGUAUGCAUACUUAACCAUAGGCACCGAAGUAAGGCGAGUGUCUAUGGUAGAGACUUGCUUAGGGGUUAGCUCCCCCUAAUGUAUUGUCUCACUUAUGGAGAUUGGAGUGUACCGGCAGUAUGGCUGGAUAGUACAGCAGUAUGGCUGACUAACCUUUAUAUGAAAAUAAUUAUUCUUUAUUAGCAUGAUCGAAGCGUACUUUUCUGCGAAUUGACAGCUAUUGAAUUAAGUCUUUUUCUUGUUGUAAUUAAUUAUUUGUUAUGCGACGUUAGCUGACGUGUACUUUUGGUCUUAACGACCCUGCGAUGAUGUUGUUUCCUAUCUGGGCAAUGACUAGCAGUAAGUCAAGUUGCAGGUCUGGGGAGUGAGGAUUGUCCCUUGGAGAAAUAAACCGUUAGGAUACAGAAGUCUUGAUAAGAACUUCUAAUAAAGUUUAAAGAAUAUUUGGUUUUAUGAGGCGAUUUUGUUCUCAAGUUGUAAUAAGUUGAUUUAAUUUUUCGUUCUUAUCCGCUGCUAAGAAUUUCUUAUAUCUAGUAGUUCAUAAUAACACUAAUAAAACUCGAUCCGCAAGCUUCCCUUAAUUUCAAAUCCGAUUUUAACUGCCUUCUAACAUCCUGGUUUGACUCGGACGAUAUACACUUGUUUUUAAAAGGUCCUCUUCUCUUUUCGUACGAUCCGAGUUAUUCCGAGAUGUUACAAUGCAUCUUGUUUCCAGACAAGAGCGGUGACUCGGUCCAGUUGAUCUAUCUACCUCUACUAGGAGACUUGUAGCGGGUAGAUGAGUAUAGUUGGGAAAGUGCUACCCUUGCGUAUUUGUAUCGCAAUUUAUGUCGAGCAUCUCGUAAGGGUGCCAAGGACAUUGGAGGCUGCUUGUUGUUGUUACAAAUAUGGUCGUGGGAGCAUAUUCAUAUAGGGAGGCCUAUAAUUCGGACGAUUUGACCCGUUGGGCAAAAUGAUCAAGACGAUGACACAGAGGAUUUUGAACCGGUCUUAGGUUUACAGCAUCGUCGUGGGAGGGAUCCUUUAGCAGUAAGCCGGCUUCGCGUAUAUCUUUCAAGAUGACAUGACAGCCUUACACAACGGCUAAGAUGGAUGUUUUGCCACACAUAUGUAGAUCGGGCCACGAGAUUUGGAGAUCGCGUUGUCCACUUAUUUGCUUUGACAUCGUCGAGCUACAUCUCCCGGAUUGUGUCAUGUGUCAAUUCGGUUUGGAGCAGGUUAUUCCGCAUGCCUGUGACACCCAACCUCAACUACAUGCGAUUGAUCGGAGGCCUAGGGACAAGAACUACGUCGUACGACAUAGAUCGCAGGUAGAUGCGUAGAAUGGCCGAGCAUCUCAAUUGGUUCAAGGAGAUAAAUACACCAGUCAAAGCCCUGGUGCGUACAUGAAUUGGUACAGGCGUAUCUCCAUACUAUGCCUCACGAACACCACAUUUGCACAGCCAGGAUCACAUUACCAUCUGGACAUCUACGUUACUGGCUGAGCGCAUCCGAUCGGUCCUCAUACAAUGCAAUGACACGAUUCAUGGGGCCGGUACAUCGCUAGUUGAUGUGGGGUAUCGUCUAUGUUCUCAGACCCUUGGCUCCAUUAACACGUCAUUGACCGAUGCAUUGAGUCAGGCGGGGUAUGAGUACCUCAUUCCGACUCUACCCAUCAUUAGUGAGGUAGAUGAUACAUUCCACACUCCUUCUCCACGGAGUUCGGCCCACCGAGGUAGCUCUUCUAAAGGAUCAAGUAGUCGGUCCACAAGAGGUCGCGAGCGUUCAUCUACUCGAGGUCGGUCUUCCAGAUCCCCAUCGACAUCCGGUGCUAUGUCGCCAUUCGUUCCUCUAGCUUCCAUAACCACUCCUUCACAUCCAUCGCCUCCGCAAAGGAUCAUCACAUAUCAGCGUGCUAGUCAAAGAUGAGCUCCUGCUCUUAAUGUCAUUGCAGAGAUUGACGAGUAUACACCAUCCAUAUCCACUGGUGCGCACAACAAAAGGGACCGGGGAUUAUAGUUUAACACAUUUUGUAUCAAUUUAUAUGCUUUGAACUUCUUGUAUCACUUUCCAUGA